rnacentral:rRNA from 1 species
UACAGAGGGUGCGAGCGUUAAUCGGAAUUACUGGGCGUAAAGGGCGCGUAGGUGGUUACUUAAGUCAGAUGUGAAAUCCCUGGGCUUAACCUAGGAAUUGCAUUUGGUACUGAGUGGCUAGAGUAUGGGAGAGGUAAGUGGAAUUUCCGGUGUAGCGGUGAAAUGCGUAGAUAUCGGAAGGAACACCAGUGGCGAAGGCGACUUACUGGCCCAUUACUGACACUGAGGCGCGAAAGCGUGGGGAGCGAACAGAAUUAGAUACCCUGGUAGUCCACGCCGUAAACGAUGAGAACUAGAUGUUAGGGGGCUUAGACCCUUUAGUAUCGCAGCAAACGCGUUAAGUUCUCCGCCUGGGGAGUACGGCCGCAAGGUUAAA